rnacentral:tmRNA from 1 species
CCGCUUGAAAAUCGGGCAAAUCCCCCUUAGGUUCAUAAGGCUUCGCAAGAAGCUAUGGACAUAAACGCGCUCGUAAUAAGCGGAUCGGACCCGGGGGCGGUACCCGGCGGCUCCACCAACAUCCUUCGUUUGGGGAUCAUGGGGCCGAAAUAGGAUCGACGGACGUCUAAAGGGGUUUGCUUUGUCUCGGUUGGAAGCCACCGUUAUCGGCGCACUAAAGCUAGUUGCAAACGACAACAAAGCUCCGAUGGCUCUGGCUGCGUAAGCAGUUCGAGUUAUCGAAAUCUAAGCCCUUGCCCCUAGCAGGGUAAGGCGGGGUUCGCAGGCACCUGGCAACAGAAGCCUGCACU